rnacentral:rRNA from 1 species
AUGGCAUGUGUGUCCCCAGUGAAGUAUUCGGUGAAACUCAAUGGGAAGUUGUUGGAGGCUUUUACCCCUACGCGGGGUCUUAGACAAGGUGAUCCGUUGUCCCCCUUUUUGUUCCUUUUCGUUGCUGAUGCUCUUUUCGCUCUUUUGCAUAAAUCAGUUAAUGAUGGUCAGCUAGAGGGUCUAAAAAUUUGUAGCAGGGCACCAGUUAUAUCUCACUUGCUCUUUGCGGAUGACUCUUUGCUUUUCUUCCGAGCUUCGAUGAACCAGGCAGAGGUGGUGAAAGAUUUGUUGAGCACUUACGCACAGUCUACGGGUCAGCUCUUGAACCCUUCCAAGUGUUCCAUUCUUUUCUCCACAAACUGUCCGGGGGCUGUUUCAGAGUCUAUAAAGCAUACUUUGGGUAUCUCGCGGGAGGUUUUCGAGCCUAAGUACUUGGGGCUGCCAGUGCCGCAAGGAAGAAUGCAUAAAGGCAGAUUUGAGAGUACCCAAGAAAGGUUGAGUAAGAGGCUCGUGGAUUGGAGCAAGCAAUAUACUUCCAUUGGUACUAAGGAGAUUCUUAUAAAAUCGGUGGCGCAGGCGAUCCCCACCUACGUCAUGAGUGUGUUCAAGCUUCCGGCUUCCGUUUGUGAUGACUUAACUCGUCUUAUGAGGCAAUACUGGUGGGGCGUGGAAACAAGAAGAGGAAGAUGGCUUGGUUGA